UUGGGAUUACAGGCAUGAGCCACCGCACCUGGCCAAAUGACUGGUUCUUUAAAGAAAAAUGAAGAAGAAUAAAAUCUGGGACUGGAUGGAAAGCUUAAGCAUGUCACGCAUGGUCUGUGUUGUUCCCACAGCCUGGAAGUCUCUUCCCUGACUUGUUCCACGAUCAACCUCUACUCACCCUUCAAGGCUCAGCUCAAAUGCCCCUUGCCCCAGAAACCUUCCACAAGUCCUGAAGGCAUCACUGAACCCCAUUUCCAGGAUGAGCCCACAGCACUGCAUACAAUGAGUUGAGCAGUAAUUAUUUGUAUCUGGUCCAGGUUCCCAAUGAUUAACUCCUUGAGAGUAGGAACACUAUCACGUUCAUCUUGGAAUCCUCAGUGACUGACACAGAGCUUGCUGUACAAGAAGCCCUCAAAAAAUGUGUACUGAAUGAAUAAAAUGCAUGUCCUAGA